UGCGUAGGCGGUUUUGCAAGUCAGAAGUGAAAGGCUACGGCUCAACCGUAGUAAGCUUUUGAAACUGCAAGACUAGAGUGCAGGAGAGGAAAGUGGAAUUCCUAGUGUAGAGGUGAAAUUCGUUGAUAUCAGGAGGAACAUCGGCGGCGAAGGCGGCCACCUGGCUCGAUACUGACGCUCAUGUGCGAAAGCGUGGGUAGCAAACA
rnacentral:rRNA from 1 species